GGUUUCAAAAUGGGUUACAAGGGAUAAUGUCGGGUGUAGGGUAGGCUGAACAAAGAAGAAAAUUGGUUUAAAGUGCGGCGUUGGGAUGGGUAAAUAAUGGUAGGAAGGGAAACAUGAUGAUCGGAGUAAUAAGUGAUAAUGAUAAAAACUCGCAAGACUUUUCACUUUUUUUUCUUUCUUCUUUUUUUUAACUCGAUUUUUUUGUCACUUCUUUUUUUUUCCUUUUUUUUCGAUUUUUUUUGAAUUUUUUUUCUGAAUUUCUUCUUUUUUUUUUCAAUCCAAUACAAUAGUAAACUAAAUACAAGGAAGAAAAAAAAUUAAAUUCCAACUCAAAUUUUUUUUUGACUUUUUUUUACGUUACGAACCUACUCCGAGCUUGAUACGAAUGUCGACACUCCUCGUUUUAGUAGCUCUGAUACCAAAUAGUGUGAUUCGGCCCUGGUUAAUCGAGUCAUUUCACGUAAUUGCCCGAUCGUCGACGAGGAAUAGUUGAGUUAUCAGAAAUAGGAUGAAAUAAGGCUAAAGAUGCAGAAGUUUUC
rnacentral:lncRNA from 1 species